CCCUUAGAUGUUCUGGGCCGCACGCGCGCUACACUGUUCGACGCAGCGAGUCUUAACCUUGACCGAAAGGUUUGGGUAAUCUUCAGCAAAGCCGAACGUGAUGGGGAUCGAUCAUUGCAAUUAUUGAUCGUGAACGAGGAAUUCCUAGUAAGUGCAAGUCAUCAGCUUGCGCUGAUUACGUCCCUGCCCUUUGUACACACCGCCCGUCGCUACUACCGAUUGAAUGGUUUAGUGAGAUCUCUGGAUUGACGCUGGCUAGGGGGCGACCCUUGGCCAGACUGUUGAGAAACUGCUCAAACUUGAUCAUUUAGAGGAAGUAAAAGUCGUAACA
rnacentral:rRNA from 1 species